rfam:Anolis carolinensis unplaced genomic scaffold chrTn0014, whole genome shotgun sequence.
AGGCGAUCUGGCUUCGACAUCUUUCACCCCAUUGAUUGCCAGGGUUGAUUCAGUUGAUGUGGCUGGCUAGUUGGGUGUCCACUUUCUCACUCCCUGCGGGUCCCUCCUGAAGCUGUGCACUCAGUGGAAGAGGAUGACGUCUCAGGUAUAGAAGGAGGGUACCAAGGUCUCCAGUAUUCGGUCCUUGGUAUACAAUUGCUGCGCUUCUCUGCUAGAACCUCCAAACAAGCUCAAGGAUAAUGUACUGAAUGAAGCUACUCUUACAAUAGAAAGAUUCAUCUUAACAAGAAUCCUUUUAUAAAGU